rnacentral:rRNA from 1 species
AUUGAACGCUGGCGGCAUGCCUUACACAUGCAAGUCGAACGGUAACGGGCCUUCGGGUGCCGACGAGUGGCGAACGGGUGAGUAAUACAUCGGAACGUGCACGAUCGUGGGGGAUAACGAGGCGAAAGCUUUGCUAAUACCGCAUACGAUCUACGGAUGAAAGCAGGGGACCGCAAGGCCUUGCGCGGACGGAGCGGCCGAUGGCAGAUUAGGUAGUUGGUGGGAUAAAAGCUUACCAAGCCGACGAUCUGUAGCUGGUCUGAGAGGAUGAUCAGCCACACUGGGACUGAGACACGGCCCAGACUCCUACGGGAGGCAGCAGUGGGGAAUUUUGGACAAUGGGCGCAAGCCUGAUCCAGCCAUGCCGCGUGCAGGAUGAAGGCCUUCGGGUUGUAAACCGCUUUUGUACGGAACGAAAGGCCUUCUUUAAAUACAGGAGGGUCAUGACGGUACCGUAAGAAUAAGCACCGGCUAACUACGUG